GCUAGUAGGGGUUUCUUUAAGGAAGAACGUUGGUAUUGGAUUUGCGUUGCAGCACUUUUUGGCUUUAACCUUCUUUUCAACGUUCUAUUUACAAUAGCUUUGACUUACUUGAAUCCACUUGCUGAUGCAAAGGCUCUCAUUACCACGGAUGAAGACAAGAA